rnacentral:tRNA from 1 species
GCCCCGGUAGCUCAGUCGGCAGAGCGUCUCCAUGGUAAGGAGAAGGUCCAGAGUUCGAUUCUCUGCCGGGGCUCGC